UACGUAGGGAGCAAGCGUUGUCCGGAAUCAUUGGGCGUAAAGAGCGUGUAGGCGGCCCGAUAAGUCCGCUGUGAAAGUCCAGGGCUCAACCCUGGAAUGCCAGUGGAAACUGUCGGGCUAGAGUCCGGAAGAGGCGAGUGGAAUUCCUGGUGUAGCGGUGAAAUGCGCAGAUAUCAGGAGGAACACCAGCGGCGAAGGCGGCACUCUGGGCUGGAACUGACGCUGAGGAGCGAAAGCGUGGGUAGCAAACAGG
rnacentral:rRNA from 1 species